CUGAAUGUUAACCUACGUUAAAGUGAAGGUAUAUUGUGAACAAGAUGGCCAUGGCUCGAAUCGACUUCAGAGGAUAUGCACAUUAUGGCCUGGAGCUCUAUUGAUAUUUCAGUGCAGCUGCAAGGAGACAGCAAAUUGCUAAGGCAAGAUGCCAAGGAGGAUAUGAGGAGAUAUGCCUGGAAAGACAUAAAGAGAAUUACAAAAGUCAUCAUGGGGAAGGCAGAGACACUAAUGGGGAGAGAGAGGUUUGGCUCCGCAUACCUACAGCAGUAAUACAUGGACCAAGGAGUUCAAAUGCUGUUGGUAUCAAAUUGUUGUUUAUAGGAGUAUGGACUUGUGUAAUUAGGGACCUUCUGUCAAAUUAGUAGUUGUUUGUGUCUAAAAAGUGUUUAACAAUAAUAACGUCACAUGAUUUUCAAUAUUUUUGCUUGGACUUUACUAGGAGUAAAGUCUUAUAGUUACAUAGG
rnacentral:lncRNA from 1 species